CAUAUACAUUCAGAUAUAUAUGAAACUAAAUGUCAUUCCCACUACUCGACUACAUCAAACCCACAUAUUUUCUCCACUGUCUGUACUAGAGUGUUUGGCCGACCUUCCCAGACAUUCCCCAGCCAGACAGUGUGUGUGUGUGUAUCAGGAUGUAUUGACAGCUGUGUGUUGUGGGUUUGCUGGCUGUCUGGCUAACCCAACAGGCUUAGAGGCAGAACCCUGAUAUAACCCUGCUCCCAAACUGAUCUGCAGAUACAACCUAUUGUUUAUGGAGACAAAUAAACGCUUACACACAUCCAUAACACACAACCAACAACUGGUGGGAACAGAAAGGAAACAACCAAUAACAGGUGGGAACAGAAAGGAAACAACCAAUAACUGGUGGGAACAGAAAGGAAACAACCAAUAACUGGUGGGAACAGAAAGGAAACAACCAAUAACUGAUGGGAACAGAAAGGAAACAACCAAUAACUGGUGGGAACAGAAAGGAAACAACCAAUAACUGAUGGGAACAGAAAGGAAACAACCAAUAACUGAUGGGAACAGAAAGGAAACAACCAAUAACUGAUGGGAACAGAAAGGAAACAACCAAUAACUGAUGGGAACAGAAAGGAAACAACCAAUAACAGGUGGGAACAGAAAGGAAACAACCAAUAACAGGUGGGAACAGAAAGGAAACAACCAAUAACAGGUGGGAACAGAAAGAAAACAACCAAUAACUGAUGGGAACAGAAAGGAAACAACCAAUAACAGGUGGGAACAGAAAGGAAACAGUAAACAUUACAGAAGAGAAUAGAGGACAGAGAAGAUAAAUAGUGAUACAGGGAAUGCGGCCCAAAUGGAAACUAUUUCCUACAUUUAUAGGGCCCUUGUCUAAAGUAGUGCACUAUAUAGGGAAAUAUGCUAUUUUUAAAGUAAUGCACUAUAUAGGGAAUAAGGCUCUGGUCUAAAGUAGUGCACUAUAUAGGGAAUAGGGC
rnacentral:lncRNA from 1 species